GACGAACGCUGGCGGCGUGCUUAACACAUGCAAGUCGAACGGAAAGGCCCUGCUUUUGUGGGGUGCUCGAGUGGCGAACGGGUGAGUAACACGUGAGUAACCUGCCCUUGACUUUGGGAUAACUUCAGGAAACUGGGGCUAAUACCGGAUAGGAGCUCCUGCUGCAUGGUGGGGGUUGGAAAGUUUCGGCGGUUGGGGAUGUACUCGCGGCUUAUCAGCUUGUUGGUUGGGUAGUGGUUUACCAAGGCUUUGACGGGUAGCCGGCCUGAGAGGGUGACCGGCAACAUUGGGACUGAGAUACUGCACCAACUCCUACGGGCGACAGCAGUGGGGAAUAUUGCACAAUGGGCGGAAGCCUCAUGCAGCAAAGCCGCGUGCGGGAUGUCGGCAUGCGGGUUGUAUACCGCUUUCGCCUGUGACGAAGCGUGAGUGACGGUAAUGGGUAAAGAAGCACCGGCUAACUACGUG
rnacentral:rRNA from 1 species